CUACGUGCCAGCAGCCGCGGUAAUACGUAGGUCCCGAGCGUUGUCCGGAUUUAUUGGGCGUAAAGCGAGCGCAGGCGGUUAGAUAAGUCUGAAGUGAAAGGCAGUGGCUCAACCAUUGUAGGCUUUGGAAACUGUUUAACUUGAGUGCAGAAGGGGAGAGUGGAAUUCCAUGUGUAGCGGUGAAAUGCGUAGAUAUAUGGAGGAACACCGGUGGCGAAAGCGGCUCUCUGGUCUGUAACUGACGCUGAGGCUCGAAAGCGUGGGGAGCGAACAGGAUUAGAUACCCUGGUAGUCCACGCCCUAAACGAUGUCUACUAGUUGUCGGGGAUUAAUUUCCUUGGUAACGCAGCUAACGCGUGAAGUAGACCGCCUGGGGAGUACGGUCGCAAGAUUAAAACUCAAAGGAAUUGACGGGGACCCGCACAAGCGGUGGAUGAUGUGGAUUAAUUCGAUGCAACGCGAAAAACCUUACCUACGCUUGACAU
rnacentral:rRNA from 1 species